rnacentral:rRNA from 1 species
GAGUUUGAUCGUGGCUCAGGAUGAACGCUGGCGGCAUGCCUAAUACAUGCAAGUCGAACGAAGUCUUUAGGAAGCUUGCUUCCAAAGAGACUUAGUGGCGAACGGGUGAGUAACACGUAGGUAACCUGCCCAUGUGCCCGGGAUAACUGCUGGAAACGGUAGCUAAAACCGGAUAGGUAUGAGGGAGGCAUCUUCCUCAUAUUAAAGCACCUUCGGGUGUGAACAUGGAUGGACCUGCGGCGCAUUAGCUGGUUGGUGAGGUAACGGCCCACCAAGGCGAUGAUGCGUAGCCGACCUGAGAGGGUGAACGGCCACAUUGGGACUGAGACACGGCCCAAACUCCUACGGGAGGCAGCAGUAGGGAAUUUUCGUCAAUGGGGGGAACCCUGAACGAGCAAUGCCGCGUGUGUGAAGAAGGUCUUCGGAUCGUAAAGCACUGUUGUAAGUGAAGAAUGCCAUAUAGA